rnacentral:rRNA from 1 species
AAUAUUGGACAAUGGGGGGAACCCUGAUCCAGCCAUGCCGCGCGUGUGAAGAAGGUCUUCGGAUUGUAAAGCACUUUAAGUUGGGAGGAAGAGUUGCAGGCUAAUACCUUGCAAUUUUUACGUUACCAACAUAAUAAGCACCGGCUACCUUCGUGCCAGUAGCCGCGGUAAUACGAAGGGUGCAAGCGUUAUUCGGAAUUACUGGGCGUAAAGCGAGAGUAGGUGGAUCGUUAAGAUGGAAGUGAAAGCCCCGGGCUUAACCUGGGAAUUGCUUUCAAAACUGACGAGCUAGAGUACGGUAGAGGGUAGUGGAAUUUCCUGUGUAGCGGUGAAAUGCGUAGAUAUAGGAAGGAACAACAGUGGCGAAGGCGACUACCUGGACUGAUACUGACAAUGAGGUGCGAAAGCGUGGGGAGCAAACAGG